rnacentral:rRNA from 1 species
AUAUAGGAUAAUAAUUUAACCUAUUUUAUUAUGGCGGCUUUUAAUCUAAUUAAAGGAACCUGUAAUAUAAUCGACAAUUCACGAUAAAUUUUACUUUUUAAUAUAAUUUAUAUAUCGCCAUCUAAAGAAUUUAUUAAAAAAUUUUUUCAGAAGAAAAAAUAAAAAGUUAGGUCAAGGUGUAGUAUACAAAAAAGAAUUUAAUGGGUUACACUAAAAAUAAUUUAAGGAAUUAUUAAUUAAAAUUUUUAAUAAAAAAGGAUUUAAUAAGUAAUUAACUAUUAAUAAUAAUAAUAAAAUAUGAAUAAGAUAAUAAAAGUGU